ACAGGGGAGAUACAGGUGUGUCACCAAGUGAGACAGAGGUGAGACAGGUGAGAUACAGACAGGUGAGAUACAGACAGGUGAGAUACAGGGGAGACACAGGGGAGAUACAGGUGAGACACAGGGGAGAUACAGACAGGUGAGACACAGGUGAGAUACAGGUGAGAUACAGGGGAGAUACAGGGGAGAUAUAGGUGAGACAGGUGAGACACAGGGGAGACACAGGUGUGUCACCAGGUGAGACAGGUGAGAUACAGGUGAGACACAGGGGAGACACAGGUGAGACACA